AAUCUUUUUUUUGCCGCCAUGACAGCCUAUAUUGAGUCCCGUCGGCGCAAGUCGACUAUGGCGAUAAACAGCCUUCGUAAUAAGCCACUCGGACCCGGGGGCAGUACCCGGCGCCUCCACCAGGGAUCAGCGAAUCAGAUAUCGGCGAGCGAGCGUCUGAAAUCGAAAAGCGGACUGAUCCGUGGCGGGGGCGAAACAGGAUCGACGAGGGUGUAAAGGUCGUGCUUUUGCCCGGCAUGGUUCCGCCGUUAUCGGGCCAACCCUAUAGUUGCCAAUGACAACUAUGCGGAGGCUGCUCUCGCUGCGUAAGCGGCGCGAUAGCCUGAAAAUGAAGUCCUAACCGCUUCGCAGCGGCUAGGCGCGGUUCGGAGGGCACCGGCCAACAGAAGCCCUCCACU
rnacentral:tmRNA from 1 species